CAGGUAGGCUGUAAAAGAAAAGACAGUGGUAUAGAACAACACGGGUGGGUCAUGCAGGUAGGCUGUAAAAGAAAAGACAGUGGUAUAGAACAACACUGGUGGGUAAUGCAGGUAGGCUGUAAAAGAAAAGACAGUGGUAUAGAACAACACGGGUGAGUCAUGCAGGUAGGCUGUAAAAGAAAAGACAGUGGUAUAGAACAACACGGGUGAGUCAUGCAGGUCGGCUGUAAAAGAAAAGACAGUGGUAUAGAACAACACGGGUGGGGCCUGCAGGUAGGCUGUAAAAGAAAAGACAGUGGUAUAGAACAACACGGGUGGGGCAUGCAGGUAGGCUGUAAAAGAAAAGACAGUGGUAUAGAACAACACGGGUGGGGCAUGCAGGUAGGCUGUAAAAGAAAAGACAGUGGUAUAGAACAACACGGGUGGGGCAUGCAGGUAGGCUGUAAAAGAAAAGACAGUGGUAUAGAACAACACGGGUGGGGCAUGCAGGUAGGCUGUAAAAGAAAAGACAGUGGUAUAGAACAACACGGGUGGGGCAUGCAGGUAGGCUGUAAAAGAAAAGACAGUGGUAUAGAACAACACGGGUGGGGCAUGCAGGUAGGCUGUAAAAGAAAAGACAGUGGUAUAGAACAACACGGGUGGGGCAUGCAGGUAGGCUGUAAAAGAAAAGACAGUGGUAUAGAACAACACGGGU